rnacentral:tRNA from 1 species
ACCAGGAUGGCCGAAUGGUUAAGGCGUUGCACUCAAGAUGCAAUGGACAGUUGUCCUCAUGGGUUCAAAUUCCUUUCCUGGUA